rnacentral:rRNA from 1 species
UGGGGAAUAUUGCACAAUGGGGGAAACCCUGAUGCAGCGACGCCGCGUGAGUGAUGACGGCCUUCGGGUUGUAAAGCUCUGUCUUCAGGGACGAUAAUGACGGUACCUGAGGAGGAAGCCACGGCUAACUACGUGCCAGCAGCCGCGGUAAUACGUAGGUGGCAAGCGUUGUCCGGAUUUACUGGGCGUAAAGGGAGCGUAGGCGGACUUUUAAGUGAGAUGUGAAAUACCCGGGCUCAACCUGGGUGCUGCAUUUCAAACUGGAAGUCUAGAGUGCAGGAGAGGAGAGUGGAAUUCCUAGUGUAGCGGUGAAAUGCGUAGAGAUUAGGAAGAACACCAGUGGCGAAGGCGACUCUCUGGACUGUAACUGACGCUGAGGCUCGAAAGCGUGGGGAGCAAACA